rnacentral:rRNA from 1 species
UUACCUACGGGGGGCAGCAGUGAGGAAUAUUGGUCAAUGGGCGAAAGCCUGAACCAGCCAAGUCGCGUGAGGGAUUAAGGCCCUAUGGGUCGUAAACCUCUUUUGUCAGGGAGCAAGACCUUUCACGUGUGGGAGGUUGGAGAGUACCUGAAGAAAAAGCAUCGGCUAACUCCGUGCCAGCAGCCGCGGUAAUACGGAGGAUGCGAGCGUUAUCCGGAUUUAUUGGGUUUAAAGGGUGCGCAGGCGGAAGAUCAAGUCAGCGGUAAAAUUGAGAGGCUCAACCUCUUCGAGCCGUUGAAACUGGU